AAUCAUUCUAACUCUAUAAAUAUAGAGCUGUGUUCUGUCCCUGGAAUAAGGUUUGGUCCAGAACCAAUCCAAAGAUGAAGAUCCUUUAUCUGCUCUUUGCAGUCCUUUUUCUUACUUUCCUGCCUGAGCCAGGAAGUGCCAGCCAAGUACAAAAACAACGUAGGUGCUAUUGGCUUCGCUGUCAUCCUGGCUACAGUCAAAUUGGAAGAAGAUGCUGUCGCAAUGUUAAAGGAAAAUGAUGCAAUCUCUAUCCUGGAUAUCUCUGAGUUGUGGCCAACGACCUGUCACCACCGUCUGUUAUCGCUUUAGCUUCUCUUAUAUAAAUCAAAAUUGCUAUCUAUCGGACUCUAAAACAUGUAUACGUUGAAGCAAAAUUUGGCAUUUUUUUCUUAAAAUAAAGCUAAAUCAGC